rnacentral:rRNA from 1 species
UACGUAGGGGGCAAGCGUUGUCCGGAAUCAUUGGGCGUAAAGCGCGCGUAGGCGGCCCGGUAAGUCCGUUGUGAAAGUCAAAGGCUCAACCUUUGAAUGCCGAUGGAUACUGUGAGACUAGAGUACGGAAGAGGCGAGUGGAAUUCCUGGUGUAGCGGUGGAAUGCGCAGAUAUCAGGAGGAACACCAAUAGCGAAGGCAGCUCGCUGGGACGUUACUGACACUGAGGCGCGAAAGCGUGGGGAGCGAACAGG